rnacentral:rRNA from 1 species
UACAGAGGGUGCAAGCGUUGCUCGGAUUUACUGGGCGUAAAGCGUGCGCAGACGGCUGAGUAAGUUGGGCGUGAAAGCCUGGGGCUCAACUCCAGAAAUGCGUUCAAAACUGCUCGGCUCGAGUAUGAGAGAGGGAAGUGGAAUUCCUGGUGUAGAGGUGAAAUUCGUAGAUAUCAGGAGGAACACCAGCGGCGAAGGCGGCUUCCUGGCUCAUUACUGACGUUCAGGCACGAAAGCGUGGGGAGCAAACAGGAUUAGAUACCCUGGUAGUCCACGCUGUAAACGAUGCAUACUAGCUGUUGGGGGUAUAAACUCCUUCGGUAGCGAAGCUAACGCGAUAAGUAUGCCGCCUGGGGAGUACGGCCGCAAGGUUG